GUCCACACUGUAAACGUUGAUUACUCGCUGUUGGCGAUACACAGCCAGCGGCCAAGCGCAAGCGAUAAGUAAUCCACCUGGGGAGUACGCCUGCAACGGUGAAACUCAAAGGAAUUGACGGGGUCAGCACAAGCGGUGGAGCAUGUGGUUUAAUUCGAUGAUACGCGAGGAACCUUACCUGGGCUAGAAUGCCCUUGACUUGUUCAGAGAUGGAUCGUUCCGCAAGGACAAGGAGCAAGGUGCUGCAUGGCUGUCGU
rnacentral:rRNA from 1 species